AUUGAACGCUGGCGGCAUGCUUUACACAUGCAAGUCGAACGGUAACAGGCCUUCGGGCGCUGACGAGUGGCGAACGGGUGAGUAAUGCAUCGGAACGUGCCCAGUCGUGGGGGAUAACGCAGCGAAAGCUGUGCUAAUACCGCAUACGAUCUAUGGAUGAAAGCAGGGGAUCGCAAGACAUUGCGCGCUUGGAGCGGCCGAUAUCUGAUUAGCUAGUUGGUGGGGUAAAGGCUCACCAAGGCAACGAGCAGUAGCUUGUCUGAGAGGACGAACAGCCACACUGGGACUGAGACACGGCCAAGACUCCUACGGGAGGCAGCAGUGGGGAAUUGUGGACAAUGGGGGCAACCCUGAUCCAGCAAUGCCGCGUGAGUGAAGAAGGCCUUCGGGUUGUAAAGCUCUUUUGUCAGGGAAGAAACGGUUUUGGCUAAUAUCCAGAGCUAAUGACGGUACCUGAAGAAUAAGCACCGGCUAACUACGUGCCAGCCGCCGCCGUAAUAC
rnacentral:rRNA from 1 species